UUUCAAGAAGUAAGUCCAUUUUAUUAAGCUGUGUUCAACUGUGUUCACACAAGAAGUUUGAGGACAAAUAUAUGGGAUUAAAUAGUUAUAGAUCCAUAAGCAUUUCAAAAGAUAGUAACUCUAAAAAAGAGUCCACAAUAGCCCUUAAAAGAUGUUCUGAAGACUUGCAUUCUCAUUGCAAAAACUGUAAAUGAAAAGCUUUUCAUUCUAAGGCUUAAAGUCCAUAUUGUGCAGAAAAGUUGCAAAUUAGAUACAUAGUUGUAAUGUGGCCAAAUAUACAGUUAGUGAGUUUAUGAACAGAGGACUUGAAACAUGCAUAUGCUCUGCUGCUAAACAAUGUAAUUUCUACUUCUUCCUUAGUUCACCCAAGAGGUCACUGAACAGAAUUUUUCUUUGUUGCCUAUUUUCUGUGGGAAACAAGACCACACCAAAAGAAUUAGGAAAACAACAAGAGCAAUUCCUUUUUAAAGUAGACAAAUGGCUCUUUGGGUCCCUGCAACAGGGCAGAAACCUUCAGCGUCAGGCUCAGAGUUUUUCGGUGAACCCACCUCGGUCCCUCAUCACGCAUCCUGCAAUCCACAAGUACAACUAGCUCUCUUUGGUUUGGACAAGAUGAUUCUAGGCUUUACUGUAGCUUUAAAUUUCUACAGGCCUCUGGUACAGUCAAUUUAAUUAUUGUGUUUUCUAUCCAGGUCUUAUAUUACCUAUAUAUUUUGUGCAUGAUCACUUAUUUUCAUUCUGAAGACCUCUGUGUUUUUUCCAAUUGGAUUGGGGCUGCUUUUAUACAUUAACUAAGUUCAUUGUAUUAUAGAAUUGUAAAAUCAUGAAAAGAUUUCUCUUUUCACCCCCAUGAUUACUGCAAUCCUUCAAGCCCCUGCUUUUUGUUUUCUGAAGUAUUAAAUGGUCUCUGCCUCCAAUUUCAUCAUACUGUCACUUAAUUGAUUUUUUUUCUAAAACACGAGUCUGAUCAUAUUAGUCUUCUUAAAAUCCUGCAAUGGUUCCAUUGCCUACAAGCUAAUAUCCACAUAUUUCACCAUGAUUUAAAGGCACUUCAUUGAUCAGUACAAACCUCCCCGCACCUUCCUUUCCAAUUAUUUCCCAAUUACACUCUCUACUUCUGAAGUACAUUACACCUCUCUACAUUUGUUCAUGCUGUUCCCUCUGAAUAGAACACCUAACCCAAUUUGUUCCUAUUUCUUUCAGGCUCUAGCUCAGGCAUUACUUCUACAAAAUAACUCUCUGACCCGUCUGAGAGGUGGAAGAGACAUCCUCCUUUCUGCUUUUCUCUAAAACCUCAAAUUUAAAAUAUCCAUUCUGCCACCACUAUGCUGUGUUUAUUUUUCUGUUUACCAAGCUUUAAUAUCAGUAUUUGUUAAAUUAGGUGUCUUUUUUAUUAGAUUCGAAAUCCCUUUAGGAAAAGGUCUUCAUCUUUGUAUUACCAGACUUAGUACAGGGUUGAAACAUAGUAGACUCUCAACUGGUAUCUACUGAAAAAACAAAAUGAAGCAUCUACACCAGAAUAUAAGCCACAUGAGAUGAAUAAAAUAUAUGGAUUAUGCA
rnacentral:lncRNA from 12 species